UUGCUGCCUGCUUUGUCUGUCUAGAAGGCAUUAAAAAAGAAAAGUUUUUGCCCAAGUAAGAGGUUGGAUAUUACUUUGACAUUUCUUAUUCAUAUUCAAAAUCUUCCAUGUUGGGUCAAGCUGUAGGGUUUAUCCCUGCAUCUCCUCUCACUCCAGCUACUUCUCUAUCAGAAGAAAAGGAGGAUAUUAAAAGCAAAGUCCACAGGUUGUGCUUCUUGUUUGCUCUGCAAAAGGAAUUUCAAGUGGGUCUGACAUCACAGAACAACCAUAGGCACCAAGGAAGGAUUCCAUGAUCCAUAGGCCAGGAUUGAAAUGAGGACUGCAAAGCAGCAUCUCUUUCUCUUUGGGCUCCUCAUUGAGCUGAGGUUUUUGUCAAAGCCACAAACCCUCAGCCCCUUGCAAUGUCAGACAUUUAUUUAAGUCAUGGUGGCUGCCAGAAGAGAAUAGCUGUCAGUGUAAAAUUACAAAUCAUUCUGCAUAAUGCCAUGCUGAUUACCAUGAAAGCAAUGGCAGGAUUGGAAUUUUACUCCUUUUUUUUCCUUUGUUGCUCAAGGAGGCAGCCUCUCCAAGGCAGCAUUUUGUGCUCAGGAAUCAUCAUCCAAGAUGUGUGGCACCAUCAGCCAAAGAUUUCCAGCAUGGGGAAACUGAGUCCUAUUCCCAAGGUUUCAAAGGCAGAUAUUCAGCAAACAGUACUAGCUUUGAUCAGGUAUUUUACUGCUCUUUCCCAAAGAGAUGAUAUGUUAAUAAUAAUCUUUGGAGGGUUUCAACAACUGUGGGAUUCUUUAAUCCAGUGAACCAGAGCUGUGUUACAGCUCUGUGAUAUUAGCAGAGUCUUCCUGCAUUACACCUUGCCUAUUUCAAUAGGGGAAACCAUUUGUUCCCUGCCACCUCCUGGGUUAGUCAGACAUUCACAAGUCUAUUGCUAACCUGCUUUCUCUAAUGAAAGCAUCAAUUCCCAGCAGCGAUAGUUGUCAUUAAAUCAAUAAGACACGUAACCCAUUCUUCUGGUGCCUCACAAAAAUGCUCAAGCAAAUUGUUAACAAGAUUUGCUAAUGCUGGGGUCCCACAGUCCGGAAGUCUCUGCAAAUAAAUAAUGGUAUUUGGCUCACAGAAGAACUUUCCUGGUUUGCUUUGUUCUCUGAAAUAUUUUAACCCUGUUUUCCCUACAAUUUUUCAGUGUUUGAAACCUGUGGAACAACUUUGCUAGGGUGGAGGCAGUUCAGGCUGGAACAAAGCACUGACAGCAAAUAUCAAGGAUAGUUUUCUGCAGGUAGUCAAACACUGCCUCAGAGACUGUCAGUUCUUGGUUGGCCCUGCAAUUUAUUUUUCCCCUAGGAAAGCACUAAACUGGCUCCUAGUAAUCCCCAAGGGGUUUCCUUUUCUCCCUGGGAUCUGUUCCUGAUAUUUUUCCUAAAUCACUUGAAUGUAGAAGUAUGGCCUCUCAUCAUGCCCCAACACUCUUCUGGGUGGUAAAAAACCCAUUCCUGGAAAUCUGGAGGCUGGCUAAUGUUUUAAGGAUGAAGAGAUGACCCAAAGGUUGGCAGGUUGGCAGUUUUUCCUCCUGAAUAUUUCUGACAUUAAAGUGCAGCUGACAUGGCUUUUCUCUCAAGCACUGGGCACAGCAUAUGCUGACAAGGGAGUGCUUCUAUGAUAAGAAUCACCCUUUUUUACUGGUUUCACAGAGUUUUGGUGUCUGGGCCUGACCAUCUCCCUGAAAGACCUUCAUCCAUGUUUGUGUGUGCAUUGACAUAGUGGCUUUGAGGGCUGCAAAAAUAAGGAUCCUACUGCUGACCUUCUGGCUUGCAGACCAUAAUUAGUUUAUGUCUGAAAAGCAUGGCAACAGCAAAACAUAUCAUGUGUGUCUGUUCAGAGAGGCAAGCAGGGAAGCAAGGAUGGUGAUGAUACUCGAGGAAGAAGGGAAAUAUAAAAGGAGUGAACAAGCUGGCAAAGGGGCCAGGAGUGCUCAAGAACGAAGACACAGGGAAUCAAGCUGCUUAUGAAGAAGCAGAGGCUGUGCUUCAGAGCAUAAAGGGGAGCAGCACAGAGGGACACGAAGGAGCAAGACUGACAGGGAGAUGGAUCGGAUGGGCAAGCUGUGGAUUGAAGGCACAAAAGGGCAAGGACAGAUACACAGAGCUUUGCAAUUAGCAGCUGUGAUUUAUGGUGGCUUCUUUGUCUUAUCAUCCUCCCCUGGCAGAUGUCCUGCCAGCAGGGGCAGUCGAGGGGUGUCUAGGGAGGGGACAGAGGGGUUUUAAAUAGGCAGACUAACGGAGAGGUAUGGAAGGGACUUUCUAGUAAUCUGUACAGCCUACCCAGGCAAUUCUCAUUAGCAAUAUCAAAAUCAAAUAGUAGCUGACCUUUUUGCAAUAAUUUUAGGAAAUUCUCUGUUUACCCCAACAUCUGGGCUUCUCACAGCAGGUUUCUGUUCCCUCAGACAGAGCCUGAACCCUGAAAGCUGGUUUUGGGCUUCAGCUGGUGGCUUCUGAGGGCCUGGAGGGAGUUAAACAGGAAUGAAGGUGACAGAGAGGAAAAACAUCCUUUCUUGGCACAAAUCUGCUGCACUGCUACCUGAUCCUUUCUUCUCAUCCUGAUCAUCCCCUUUUCUCUGUAGACACACAUAAGAAUUUCUGUCCUGUCCCUGUGCCAAAGCUCGAAGCAUUGUGGUUGUGUGGCCAUCAUGCCAGGUCCUUUAGAUGAGCUGCAGAUACCUGCUUGUCCAGCUUGACUGCUUUUUCUUGAGAUCCCACACUCUUCCUGGUAUUCCUUGGAGGCUGUAGCAGCUCCCAUGCCCAUAGAGGAGCUCAGGAGGAGCUUUGCCUGGGAACUGGGGAUUUGCUGCCUCUUAGGCUGAACAACAGCACACGCUGUGGUAGUAAAGCAUUAAAUCUCCUCUGGCAUUUUGUGUAAGAGAUACAAUCCUGAGGUUUUCUCUCUGGUCUGGAGAAUGGACAUCCUUGUUUCCCCUCUAAGGGAAUCUAGGAGUGGCGAUUUAGAAAUGCAAGUCAGGUGAAAUACAGGUAAUCCCCAUUUCCAGUGGCAGC